rnacentral:rRNA from 1 species
CCUACGGGGGGCUGCAGUGAGGAAUAUUGGUCAAUGGUCGGGAGACUGAACCAGCCAAGCCGCGUGAGGGAUGAAGGUACAGAGUAUCGUAAACCUCUUUUGUCAGGGAACAAAGGCGGGGACGUGUCCCCGGAUGAGUGUACCUGAAGAAAAAGCAUCGGCUAACUCCGUGCCAGCAGCCGCGGUAAUACGGAGGAUGCGAGCGUUCUCCGGAUUUAUUGGGUGAAAAGGGUGCGCAGGCGGUCUGUUAAGUCAGCGGUAAAAGCCCGGGGCUCAACCCCGGCCCGCCGUUGAAACUGGCAGUCUCGAGUUGGAGAGAAGUAUGCGGAAUGCGCGGUGUAGCGGUGAAAUGCAUAGAUAUCGCGCAGAACUCCGAUUGCGAAGGCAGCAUGCCGGCUCCACACUGACGCUGAGGCACGAAAGCGUGGGUAUCGAACAGGAUUAGAUACCCUAGUAGUC